GACGAACGCUGGCGGCGUGCUUAACACAUGCAAGUCGAACGGUGAAGGGACUGGUUUUGCUGGUCCUGGAUGAGUGGCGAACGGGUGAGUAACACGUGAGUAACCUGCCCCCUUCUUCUGGAUAACCGCAUGAAAGUGUGGCUAAUACGGGAUAUUCUGGGUCUGUCGCAUGGUGGGCCUGGGAAAGAUUGCGCCUUUUUUGGUGUUUUUGGUGGGGGAUGGGCUCGCGGCCUAUCAGCUUGUUGGUGGGGUGAUGGCCUACCAAGGCGGUGACGGGUAGCCGGCCUGAGAGGGUGGACGGUCACACUGGGACUGAGACACGGCCCAGACUCCUACGGGAGGCAGCAGUGGGGAAUAUUGCACAAUGGGCGCAAGCCUGAUGCAGCGACGCCGCGUGAGGGAUGGAGGCCGUCGGGUUGUGAACCUCUUUCGCCAGUGAAGCAGGCCUGCCUCUUUUUGUGGGUGGGUUGACGGUAGCUGGAGAAGAAGCGCCGGCUAACUACGUG
rnacentral:rRNA from 1 species